rnacentral:rRNA from 1 species
GAUGAACGCUAGCGGUAGGCUUAAUACAUGCAAGUCGAGGGACAGCACAGGUAGCAAUACUGGGUGGUAACCGGCAAACGGGUGCGGAACACGUACACAACCUUCCUUUAAGUGGGGGAUAGCCCAGAGAAAUUUGGAUUAAUACCCCGUAAUAUAGUUGAAUGGCAUCAUUUGAUUAUUAUAGCUACGGCGCUUAAUGAUGGGUGUGCGGCUGAUUAGAUAGUUGGCGGGGUAACGGCCCACCAAGUCUACGAUCAGUAGCUGAUGUGAGAGCAUGAUCAGCCACACGGGCACAGAGACACGGGCCCGACUCCUACGGGAGGCAGCAGUAAGGAAUAUUGGUCAAUGGACGCAAGUCUGAACCAGCCAUGCCGCGUGAAGGAUUAAGGUCCUCUGGAUUGUAAACUUCUUUUAUUUGGGACGAAAAAGGGCCUUUCUAGGUCAACUGACGGUACCAGAUGAAUAAGCACCGGCUAACUCCGUGCCAGCAGCCGCAGUAAAAC